GCCGGGCACAGUGGCACGUGCCUGUAGUCCCAGCUACUCGGGAGGCUGAGCUGGAAGGAUCGCUUGAGCCCAGGAGUUCUGAGCUGUAGUGCUAUGCUGGGACGGUGUCCGCACUAAGUUUGGCAUCAAUAUGGUGACUUCCCGGGAGCGGGGGACCACCCGGUUACCUAAGGAGGGGUGAACCAGCCCAGGUCAGAAACGGAGCAGAUCAAAACUCCCGUGCUGAUCAGUAGUGGGAUCACGCCUGUGAAUAGCCACUGCACUCCAGCCUGGGCAACAUAGUGAGACCCCAUCUCUU
rnacentral:SRP_RNA from 1 species